GUAACACGUAAGUAACCUGCCUUUAAGACGAGGAUAACAACCGGAAGGUUACUAAGACUGGAUAGGAAACAAAAAGGCAUCUUUUUGUUUUUAAAAGACCUUCUUACGAAGGUAUGCUUAAAGAGGGGCUUGCGCCACAUUAGUUAGUUGGUAGAGUAAAAGCCUACCAAGACGAUGAUGUGUAGCUGGACUGAGAGGUUGAACAGCCACAUUGGGACUGAGACACGGCCCAAACUCCUACGGGAGGCAGCAGUAGGGAAUUUUCGGCAAUGGAGGAAACUCUGACCGAGCAACGCCGCGUGAACGAUGAAGUAUUUCGGUAUGUAAAGUUCUUUUAUUGAAGAAGAAAAAGUAGUGGAAAAACUAUAUUGACGUUAUUCAAUGAAUAAGCCCCGGCUAACUAUGUGCCAGCAGCCGCGGUAAGACAUAGGGGGCGAGCGUUAUCCGGAAUUAUUGGGCGUAAAGGGUGCGUAGGCUGUUAGAUAAGUCUAUAAUUUAAUUUCAGUGCUUAACGCUGUCUUGUUAUAGAAACUGUCUUGACUAGAGUGAGAUAGAGGCAAGCGGAAUUCCAUGUGUAGCGGUAAAAUGUGUAAAUAUAUGGAGGAACACCAGAAGCGUAGGCGGCUUGCUGGGUCUUUACUGACGCUGAGGCACGAAAGCGUGGGUAGCAAACAGGAUUAGAUACCCUGGUAGUCCACGCCGUAAACGAUGAGUACUAAGUGUCGGGGUAAAACUCGGUACUGAAGUUAACACAUUAAGUACUCCGCCUGAGUAGUACGUACGCAAGUAUGAAACUUAAAGGAAUUGACGGGACUCCGCACAAGCGGUGGAUCAUGUUGUUUAAUUCGAAGAUACACGAAAAAUCUUACCAGGUCUUGACAUACUCUGCAAAGCUAUAGAAAUAUAGUGGAGGUUAUCAGGGAUACAGGUGGUGCAUGGUUGUCGUCAGUUCGUGUCGUGAGAUGUUAGGUUAAGUCCUAAAACGAACGCAACCCUUGUCGUUAAUUGCCAGCACAUAAUGGUGGGGACUUUAACGAGACUGCCAAUUAAACAUUGGAGGAAGGUGAGGAUUACGUCAAAUCAUCAUGCCCCUUAUGAUCUGGGCUACAAACGUGAUACAAUGGCUGUGACAAAGAGUAGCUGAAACGCGAGUUUUUAGCCAAUCUCAAAAAAGCAGUCUCAGUUCGGAUUGAAGUCUGUAACUCGACUUCAUGAAGUUGGAAUCGCUAGUAAUCGCGAAUCAGCAUGUCGCGGUGAAUACGUUCUCGGGGUUUGUACACACCGCCCGUCAAACCACGAAAGUUAGCAAUGCCCGAAAGCAGUAGCUU
rnacentral:rRNA from 1 species